UGAGGAAUCUUCCGCAAUGGGCGAAAGCCUGACGGAGCGACACCGCGUGAAGGAUGAAACCCCUCUGGGGCGUAAACUUCUGUUCUGAGGGACGAAAUUUUUGACGGUACCUCAGGAGAAAGCACCGGCUAAUUCUGUGCCAGCAGCCGCGGUAAGACAGAAGGUGCAAGCGUUACUCGGAAUUACUGGGCGUAAAGCGUCCGUAGGUGAUCCUGUUUGUCUGGUGUCAAAGCGCGACGCUCAACGUUGCGUUGGCACUGGAAACGGCAGGAAUUGAGUCAUUCAGAGGCAUCUGGAAUAUCGUGUGUAGGGGUAAAAUCCGUUGAUCCACGAUAGAACGCCGAAAGCGAAGGCAGGAUGCUAGGAAUGUACUGACACUCAGGGACGAAAGCGUGGGGAGCAAACCGG
rnacentral:rRNA from 1 species